UACGUAGGGUGCGAGCGUUACUCGGAAUUACUGGGCGUAAAGCGUGCGUAGGCGGUUCGUUAAGUUCGUUGUGAAAGCCCCGGGCUCAACCUGGGAAUGGCAAUGGAAACUGGCGGGCUGGAGUAUGGCAGAGGGGGGUGGAAUUCCGCGUGUAGCAGUGAAAUGCGUAGAGAUGCGGAGGAACACCGAUGGCGAAGGCAAUCCCCUGGGCCUGCACUGACGCUCAUGCACGAAAGCGUGGGGAGCAAACAGG
rnacentral:rRNA from 1 species